AAAGGGAGACCUAAUUCAGGUAGGCGACGAAAAAAAAGUAGUCCCAACCAAGAAUCAAUCCCAAAAGGUCGGAGCGAGGCAAAAUUGGCUUUCAAACUAGGUUCUGGGUUCACACAAGACCUGAAUCAGGAACAAGGGCUAUUAGCUCAGGUGGUUAGAGCGCACCCCUGAUAAGGGUGAGGUCCCUGGUUCGAGUCCAGGAUGGCCCACCUGCACAGGUGGCAAAAACAAAGAAGCGAGGAAUCAGCACCUGAUCUUACUUAUAUAGUAAGAGAGAAUGCUGGCUCUGAGUUCAGAGUCCAGAGGAACCUUGAAAACUGCAUAGAGCUAGGUGAAAAAGCCAAAAAAGAAGACCGCAAG
rnacentral:tRNA from 1 species